rnacentral:rRNA from 1 species
GUGGUUAAGCUACUAAGGGUGUCUGGUGGAUGCCUAGGCACCAGGAGGCGACGAAGGGCGUGGCAAGCUGCGAUAAGCCCGGGGGAGGCGCAAGCAGCCGUUGAUCCCGGGAUGCCCGAAUGGGGAAACCCGGCCACCUUAAUAGGUGGUCACCACCCGUAAGGGUGGGGCGAUACCCGGGGAACUGAAACAUCUCAGUACCCGGAGGAAAAGAAAGCAACCGCGAUUCCCUGAGUAGCGGCGAGCGAAAGGGGAAGAGCCUAAACCGUCCCUGUGCCAAGCCCGUGGGCGUUGCAGGGACGGGGUAGUGGGACACAGCCGGGCUGGGCCACGGACCGGCCGGGGAGUUACAAAACUCCCACCUAGCCGAACUACCUGGAAAGGUAGGCCAUAGAGGGUGAAAGCCCCGUAGGCGAAAGGUGUGGAGUCUCCCUGGGCUGUGAUCCCGAGUACCUCGGGGCACGUGGAACCCUGAGGGAAUCUGGGUGGACCACCACCUAAGGCUAAAUACUCCCUGGUGACCGAUAGCGAACUCAGUACCGUGAGGGAAAGGUGAAAAGAACCCCAGUGCGGGGAGUGAAAUAGAACCUGAAACCAGACACCUACAAUCAGUCGGAGGGUCCCAAAGGAUGUUCCUCGGAGCCUUUUUGGCUCCACAUGAGGCUCCUUUGGGCCUGACGGCGUGCCUUUUGCCUAAUGAGCCUGGGAGUUACCCUCGUCGGCGAGGCUAAGACCCUCUGGGUUGGAGCCGGAGCGAAAGCGAGUCCGAAUAGGGCGUUUAGUCGGCGGGGGUAGACCCGAAACCAGGUGAGCUACCCAUGGCCAGGGUGAAGCCCCGGUAACACGGGGUGGAGGCCCGAACCGGUGGACGUUGAAAAGUCCUCGGAUGAGCUGUGGGUAGGAGUGAAAAGCUAAUCGAACCUGGAGAUAGCUGGUUCUCCCCGAAAUAGCUCUAGGGCUAGCCUCGGGAAUGAGUGUCGCGGAGGUAGAGCACUGGAUGGGCUAGGGGGUAACUCCGAACCCAACCAAACUCCGAAUGCCGCGACAUGCUUCCCGGGAGUCAGGCCGUGGGGGAUAAGCUCCAUGGCCGAGAGGGGAACAACCCAGACCACCGGCUAAGGCCCCGGAGUGGAGGCUUAGUGGUAAAGGAGGUGGGGCUGCUUAGACAACCGGGAUGUUGGCUUAGAAGCAGCCAUCAUUUAAAGAGUGCGUAAUAGCUCACCGGUCGAGUGGCCCUGCGCCUAAAAUGUAGCGGGGCUAAGCCUCCCGCCGAAGCCGUGGGUUGCCCUGUCCUCCGGGACAGGGCAGCGGUAGGGGAGCGUUCCCAGCGGGCUGAAGGUAUCCCGCGAGGGGUACUGGACUGCUGGGAAGUGAGAAUCCAGGCAUCAGUAACGAUAAGGAGGGUGAGAAUCCCUCCCGCCGAAAGCCUAAGGUUUCCACCGGAAGGUUCGUCCGCGGUGGGUUAGCCGGCCCCUAACCCGAGGCCGAAAGGCGUAGGGGAUGGGAAUCCCGUUAAUAUUCGGGAGCCACCCUGAUGGAGCCCAGGGGGUGACGCAGGGGGGAAGGGCCAGCGCCCUGAUGGAAUAGGGCGUCUAAGCCUGUAGGGGGCUCCUCCAGGCAAAUCCGGAGGAGUGGACUUUGAGAGUCCAACCCUGAGAGGUGAUGGGGACCCCCGUAACUGGGGGGAACUGGCCCGGACCGCACUGCCAAGAAAUAACCUCGUGGGUGAUGAAGUCAGGGUGACCGUACCGCAAACCGACACAGGUAGGCGGGCCGAGCAUGCUCAGGCGCGCGAGUUAACCCCCGCUAAGGAACUCGGCAACUUGACCCCGUAACUUCGGGAGAAGGGGUGCCCCGAGUACGUGAAAGGCUUCGCGCCUAGUAGCGGAAAGGGGUCGCAGCGGAGAGGGCCUGGCGACUGUUUACCAAAAACACAGG